rnacentral:other from 1 species
GCUUUCCUGCGGUGCUCGUCACGGCUCAGAUUCCUUGAACCGAUAAAUUGCUACCCGGCUGCCAGCCACGAAAAUUCGCCUGUUGUGAGCGUUCCCUAGUCGAACGCACCUGAUGGCAAACGGCAGGCAGCCACUUGAACCUCAGGGUUCAGGAUGCGAGCCGGACGACACCUGCGGGAAAGCC